rnacentral:lncRNA from 1 species
CCAGGUAGAUGUGAAGCUUGGCAGUGCUUGGACACAUACUCAACCAUACGGAGAAUAUCAGCCUGUAGCAGGUAAACAAGAGCCCAGCACAGAAGAAAAGGCAGAGCUACAAGACGACAGUGCCACAUUAUUUUCAUUGGAAUCUAUGUACCCAUCUAUGCCUGAGUUUAAAGAUGCUCAAUGACUGUAGGAAGAAGAUACUGGAUUUUCAAAAUAACAUUUGAUGAAAGCAAUUGCCAUGCAGUGAUGAGAACAGGUUUGGGAGGCUCAAGACUUGGUGUGACAUCCUGACUCCAAUUGGUUCAUAUGAGGAGACAAGGAGAAGAUGUCCAUCUGGAAACCUUCAGGAAGUGGAUCUUCACCAGACACCAGAUCUGCUGGUACUUUGCUCUGGACUUCUCAGUCUCCAGAACUGUGAGAAAUAAGUGUCUGUUGUUUAAGCCACUCAAUCAAUAGCAUUUUGUCAUAGCAUACUAAACUGUCUAGUGGAGUUUGUAUUGUUUCAACCUAAAGCCCUGAAUGAUGAGAAUGGUUAACCAUUUAUAAACCACUGAAGGUGACUCAGCACAUUAUCUUGUACAUGGUGGACC